rnacentral:rRNA from 1 species
CACGCCGUAAACGAUGAGUGCUAGGUGUUAGGGGGUUUCCGCCCCUUAGUGCUGAAGUUAACGCAUUAAGCACUCCGCCUGGGGAGUACGGCCGCAAGGCUGAAACUCAAAAGAAUUGACGGGGGCCCGCACAAGCGGUGGAGCAUGUGGUUUAAUUCGACGCAACGCGAAGAACCUUACCAGGUCUUGACAUCCUCUGCAAUCGGUAGAGAUACCGAGUUCCCUUCGGGGACAGAGUGACAGGUGG